rnacentral:rRNA from 1 species
GUGCCAGCAGCCGCGGUAAUUCCAGCUCCAAUAGCGUAUAUUAAAGUUGUUGUGGUUAAAAAGCUCGUAGUUGAACCUUGGGCCUGGCUGGCCGGUCCGCCUCACCGCGUGCACUGGUCCGGCCGGGCCUUUCCCUCUGUGGAACCCCAUACCCUUCACUGGGCGUAGAGAGGAAACAGGACAUUUACUUUGAAAAAAUUAGAGUGCUCCAGGCAGGCCUAUGCUCGAAUACAUUAGCAUGGAAUAAUAAAAUAGGACGCGCGGUUCUAUUUUGUUGGUUUAUAGGACCGCCGUAAUGAUUAAUAGGGACAGUCGGGGGCAACAGUAUUCAACUGUCAGAGGUGAAAUUCUUGGAUCAGUUGAAGACUAACUACUGCGAAAGCUUUUGCCAAGGAUGUUUUCAUUAAUCAGGAACGAAAGUUAGGGGAUCGAAGACGAUCAGAUACCGUCGUAGUCUUAACCAUAAACUAUGCCGACUAGGGAUCGGACGGUGUUAUUCAUGACCCGUUCGGCACCAUACGAGAAAUCAAAGUGCUUGGGCUCCAGGGGGAGUAUGGUCGCAAGGCUGAAACUUAAAGAAAUUGACGGAAGGGCACCACCAGGGGUGGAGCCUGCUGCUUAAUUUGACUCAACACGGGCAAACUCACCAGGUCCAGACACAAUAAGGAUUGACAGAUUGAGAGCUCUUUCUUGAUUUUGUGGGUGGUGCUGCAUGGCCGUUCUUAGUGGUGGGGUGACUUGUCUGCUUAAUUGCGAUAACGAACGAGACCUUAACCUGCUAAAUAGCCCGCAUUGCUCCGGCAGUGCGCUGGCUUCUUAGAGGGACUUUCGGCUCAAGCCGAGGG